rnacentral:rRNA from 1 species
CCUACGGGAGGCAGCAGUGGGGGAUAUUGCACAAUGGAGGAAACUCUGAUGCAGCGACGCCGCGUGAGGGAAGACGGUCUUCGGAUUGUAAACCUCUGUCUUUGGGGAAGAAAAUGACUGUACCCAUGGAGGAAGCUCCGGCUACCUACGUGCCAGCAGCCGCGGUAAUACGUCGGGAGCGAGCGUUGUCCGGAAUUACUGGGGGUAAAGGGAGCGUAGGCGGGCGAGAAAGUUGAAUGUUAAAUCUACCGGCGUAACCGGUAGCUGCGUUCAAAACUGCUUUUCUUGAGUGAAGUAGAGGGAGGCGGAAUGCCUAGUGUAGCGGUGAAAUGCGUAGAUAUUAGGAGGAACACCAGUGGCGAAGGCGGCAUGCUGGGCUUUAACUGACGCUGAGGCUCGAAAGCGUGGGGAGCAAACAGGAUUAGAUACCCGAGUAGUC